UACGAAGGGUGCAAGCGUUACUCGGAAUUACUGGGCGUAAAGCGUGCGUAGGUGGUGAGUUAAGUCUGUCGUGAAAGCCCCCGGGCUCAACCUGGGAAUGGCGAUGGAUACUGGCUCGCUAGAGUGCGGUAGAGGAGAGUGGAAUUCCCGGUGUAGCAGUGAAAUGCGUAGAGAGUCGGGAGGAACAUCAGUUGCGAAGGCGGCUCUCUGGGCAGUAACUGACGCUGAGGAGCGAAAGCGUGGGGAGCCGAACAGG
rnacentral:rRNA from 1 species